rnacentral:rRNA from 1 species
CACGUAGUUAGCCGGUGCUUCUUCUUCAGGUACCGUCACUUUCGCUUCGUCCCUGCUGAAAGAGGUUUACAAUCCGAAGACCUUCAUCCCUCACGCGGCGUCGCUGCGUCAGGCUUUCGCCCAUUGCGCAAUAUUCCCCA